ensembl:lncRNA
AUUACUCCCUGCCUUAUUUGAUGAUACUUUCACAAUUUUGAGACUGUUAUAUGUAGUAUGCAGCAUGAGAGCACUCCAGCAGUCUUGCAGCCAAAGACCUUCUACUGAAAGCUUACAGGUUGUCUCAUUACGGAGUAUUAACUGAGCCAGGGAAGCAAGCAAAGGCAGACAGGACUUCCCAUUCCACAGAGGACUGCUGAGCACCGUUGAGUGUUGGUUAACACCUUGCAGAAUAGGAUUAAAGAGGAUUACAUUGAUUAAGGAAAGGAACAACAAGAGAAAUUCUUCCCCUUUCUGUCUGUAGGCUAACGAGCACUCAGUUCUCUCAGCUCCUUCUUGAAGUCCAGCAGAGACACAGUGAGGUUACCAUAAGGUCUUCCUCAUCUACUCCCUAACUAUGAGGCUUCUAUAACCAGGAGUGAACAACAGAGGGGAAGGAAUGAUGAUUUGUACAAGGUGUUGGAUAUUGAUUCUGCAGCCAUAGCUGUCAUGUCACAGAGGCUGCUCACAGAACAUGUGGAGUCCUUUAUCUCUAGGAUAUAAGAGAAGUGAGGUUCAGAUGUUCAGGCAGGUGAAGACGUGUUACAUACUGUGCUUACCACUGUAUGAUACACAACAUUCUAUCUCCAUUUUGUUCCUUUGGUUUUGUGUUAAAGUGAGUAUGAUUACUGAGAUGAGGGUUUUUUUACAUGCAC